GGUAUUGCCAUCCCAAUAUUUAGUUGGAAGUUCCCAGGUAUAGUCCGCUAGUGACAGUCUGCUGGCAAAUCCAGGCAUGCGAUGGAAGGAUGCUGAUGUGAAGGACACAGGGACACCUGAUACAAGAACUGUGGCAUUUCAUUCAGAGUGACAACCUGACAUUCAGUUGAUAUUGGACCCGAUUAUUCAGAAAACUGCAGAUUUUAGGAAGCUGUUUUUGACAGAAGAUUUGGCUUUAUCCAUCUGUAUUGCCACCAACCAUUAUGCUGAGAUGGUCAUAUCUAGGGGGAAAGAUUGUCAUUAUACUUCCCAAGGAAGUUUGCAUCCUCUCACUGAAGAGGAAUUGUACAGAUUUUCGUGCAUUAUCUUAUACAUGUUUGCUGUGAAGUUCCAGUCGAUAGACAUAUAUUGGUCAAUCCAUGCCCCUUUCGGAACAACCCAGUACAGUGUAUCAGGAAUGAUGUCUAGAAAUAAGUUUUAAGAGGUUGAAUAUAAGAACAUUUUUGUUAAUUAUGAUGCAAGUACAUUUAAAUCUAGUGAUUGAAAGUAAGUACUUGAACAUUCGUAUGCGUUGAUCUUACAGAGGAAAAAUGGGUAGUAC